rfam:Oryza barthii chromosome 3, whole genome shotgun sequence.
UUUAAGUGCAACCAUAAGUUUUUACACCCAAUUUUGAUCGUCCGUCUUAUUUAAUUUUUUUAUAAUUAGUAUUUUUAUUAUUAUGAGAUAAUAAAACAUUAAUAAUACUUUAUACAUAACUUAUGUUUUUAAUUUUUUUAAAUGAGAUGGAUGAUCAAAAUUAUGCAUGAAAAAUUCUGACUGCACUUAAA